rnacentral:rRNA from 1 species
UACUGGGCGUAAAGCGCACGCAGGCGGUCUGUCAAGUCGGAUGUGAAAUCCCCGGGCUCAACCUGGGAACUGCAUUCGAAACUGGCAGGCUAGAGUCUUGUAGAGGGGGGUAGAAUUCCAGGUGUAGCGGUGAAAUGCGUAGAGAUCUGGAGGAAUACCGGUGGCGAAGGCGGCCCCCUGGACAAAGACUGACGCUCAGGUGCGAAAGCGUGGGGAGCAAACAGGAUUAGAUACCCUGGUAGUCCACGCCGUAAACGAUGUCGAUUUGGAGGUUGUGCCCUUGAGGCGUGGCUUCCGGAGCUAACGCGUUAAAUCGACCGCCUGGGGAGUACGGCCGCAAGGUUAAAACUCAAAUGAAUUGACGGGGGCCCGCACAAGCGG